CCUACGGGGGGCAGCAGUGAGGAAUAUUGGUCAAUGGACGAGAGUCUGAACCAGCCAAGUAGCGUGAAGGAUGACUGCCCUAUGGGUUGUAAACUUCUUUUAUAAAGGAAUAAAACGAGGCACGUGUGCCUGUUUGCAUGUACUUUAUGAAUAAGGAUCGGCUAACUCCGUGCCAGCAGCCGCGGUAAUACGGAGGAUCCGAGCGUUAUCCGGAUUUAUUGGGUUUAAAGGGCGCGUAGAUGGGUUGUUAAGUCAGUUGUGAAAGUUUGCGGCUCAACCGUAAAAUUGCAAUUGAUACUGGCAGUCUUGAGUACAGUUGAGGUAUGCGGAAUGCGUGGUGUAGCGGUGAAAUGCUUAGAUAUCACGAAGAACCCCGAUUGCGAAGGCAGCUUACUAAACUGUGACUGACAUUGAUGCUCGAAAGUGUGGGUAUCAAACAGGAUUAGAUACCCUUGUAGUC
rnacentral:rRNA from 1 species